rnacentral:rRNA from 1 species
AUACGGAGGAUCCGAGCGUUAUCCGGAUUUAUUGGGUUUAAAGGGUGCGCAGGCGGGAGAUUAAGUCGGCGGUGAAAUUUUUCAGCUCAACUGUAAAAGUGCCUUCGAAACUGGUUUCCUUGAGUGUAGAUGAAGUAGGCGGAAUUUGUGGUGUAGCGGUGAAAUGCAUAGAUAUCACGAGGAACUCCGAUUGCGCAGGCAGCUUACUAAACUACUACUGACGCUCAGGCACGAAGGCGUGGGGAUCAAACAGGAUUAGAUACCCUGGUAGUCCACGCAGUAAACGAUGAUUACUAGCUGUUUGCGAUACAAUGUAAGCGGCUGAGCGAAAGCGUUAAGUAAUCCACCUGGGGAGUACGUUCGCAAGAAUGAAACUCAAAGGAAUUGACGGGG